GUCGAGCAGGGCGGCGGGCGGUGCGAGGUGCUGAGCGGCCUCACCCCCGACCGUCGGCCCAGUAGGACGGUUCCGAGGCGUUGCCCGGCGCCGGGCGCGCCUCUCCCUGGACUCGGAGAAACGCGGGUACGUUUGGAGACACCAGGGACCGACAGCCCAGCCCGGACUCGGGAGAGUCGGUGCGAGACGAGGGCGUCCAAGUCUUGCCGGAGCUGGGGGCGGCGUCCGCCGACCGAGUCCCGCAGUAAGAGUCCGCGGAGCGUGCAGCCCUAGGGAGGAAGAGCGUGCUGCGGCUGCAGCCUCAGGGGCAUCUGCCUGAGCCCACUUUUCUACAAGAUGUGGGGAUUUUUGAAGCGCCCUAUAGUGGUGACGGCUGACAUCAACUUGAGCCUUGUGGCCCUGACUGGGAUGGGGUUACUGAGCCGGCUGUGGCGACUCACGUACCCGCGGGCUGUGGUUUUUGAUGAAGUGUAUUAUGGGCAGUACAUCUCUUUUUACAUGAAACGAAUCUUCUUCUUGGAUGACAGUGGGCCGCCAUUUGGCCACAUGGUGCUGGCCUUGGGAGGUUAUUUAGGAGGAUUCGAUGGCAAUUUUUUGUGGAACAGAAUUGGAGCAGAAUACAGUAGCAACGUGCCUGUGUGGUCCCUGCGCCUGCUGCCGGCGCUCGCGGGGGCCUUGUCUGUCCCCAUGGCCUACCAGAUAGUGCUGGAGCUCCACUUUUCUCAUUGUGCCGCCAUGGGAGCUGCUCUGUUGAUGCUUAUCGAGAAUGCUCUCAUCACUCAGUCAAGGCUAAUGCUUUUGGAAUCAGUGUUAAUAUUUUUUAAUCUAUUGGCCGUGUUGUCCUACCUGAAGUUCUUCAAUUGCCAAAAGCACAGCCCUUUUUCUCUGAGCUGGUGGUUCUGGCUAACACUGACAGGGGUUGCUUGUUCCUGCGCAGUGGGCAUCAAGUACAUGGGUGUGUUCACAUACGUGCUCAUGCUGGCGGUUGCAGCUGUCCAUGCCUGGCACCUGAUUGGAGACCAGACUUUGUCCAAUGUCUGUGUGUUCUGUCACUUGCUUGCCCGAGCAGUGGCUUUGCUGGUCAUCCCGGUCGUCCUGUACUUACUGUUCUUCUACAUCCACUUGAUUCUGCUCUUCCGCUCUGGGCCCCAUGACCAAAUCAUGUCCAGUGCCUUCCAGGCCAGCUUAGAGGGAGGACUAGCUCGGAUCACCCAGGGUCAGCCGCUGGAGGUGGCCUUCGGGUCCCAGGUCACUCUGAGGAACGUCUUUGGGAAACCUGUGCCCUGCUGGCUGCAUUCCCACCAGGAAACCUACCCCAUGAUAUACGAGAAUGGCCGAGGCAGCUCCCACCAGCAGCAGGUGACCUGUUACCCCUUCAAAGAUGUCAAUAACUGGUGGAUUGUAAAGGAUCCCGGGAGGCACCAGCUGGUGGUGAGCAGCCCUCCGAGACCCGUGCGGCACGGGGACAUGGUGCAGCUGGUCCACGGCAUGACCACCCGCUCCCUGAACACGCAUGAUGUUGCAGCCCCUCUGAGUCCCCAUUCACAGGAGGUCUCCUGCUACAUUGACUAUAAUAUCUCCAUGCCCGCCCAGAACCUCUGGAGACUGGAAAUUGUGAACAGAGGAUCCGACACAGACGUCUGGAAGACCAUCCUCUCAGAGGUCCGCUUUGUGCACGUGAACACUUCUGCGGUCUUAAAGCUGAGCGGGGCUCACCUCCCUGACUGGGGGUAUCGGCAGCUGGAGAUCGUUGGGGAGAAGCUGUCCCGGGGCUAUCAUGAGAGCAUGGUGUGGAACGUGGAGGAGCACCGAUACGGCGCGAGCCAGGAGCAGAGGGAGCGGGAACGGGAGCUGCACUCACCUGCGCAGGUGGAUGUCAGCAGGAACCUCAGCUUCAUGGCGAGAUUCUUGGAGCUGCAGUGGAGGAUGCUGGCGCUGAGAAGCGAUGACUCGGAACACAAGUACAGCUCCAGCCCGCUGGAGUGGGUCACCCUGGACACCAAUAUCGCCUACUGGCUGCACCCCAGGACCAGCGCUCAGAUCCACCUACUUGGAAAUAUAGUGAUCUGGAUUUCGGGCAGCCUUGCCCUGGCUGUCUACUCCCUGCUGUCCUCAUGGUACCUGCUCCGACGGCGAAGAAACGUCCAUGACCUCCCUCAGGAUGCCUGGCUGCGCUGGGUGUUGGCUGGGGUGCUGUGUGCUGGUGGCUGGGCAGUGAACUACCUCCCGUUCUUCCUGAUGGAGAAGACACUCUUCCUCUACCACUACCUGCCUGCACUCACCUUCCAGAUCCUUCUGCUCCCUGUCGUCCUGCAGCACAUCAGCGACCACCUAUGCAGGUAUGGGGGCGGCAGAGACAGUGGCUGGACCAGGCAGCAGCCCUCUGCUGGACAGCCCAUGUGCAGCAAACACAUGGGGUGCAGCGAACCUCUCCCAUUUCACGUUACACUGACAUCCUCCUGGCCUCUCCGGGGAAUGGGUGAGGUUCAGAAGAGAUGCCCAGAUGAGGCACUGCAGGAACCCAGAGGGAGAAGUCACGGCUGACAGAGAUGAAAGCGGAGUGGGUAGUAAGAUGGGGAAGGGAUGAAGAGAUGUGGGUGGCCUGGAGGAUUCGGGAGCAGGGAGCAAGGCCUAGGAGCCUCAGGGUGUCAGGAACAGCAGCUGGUUACAGCUGGGUUGUGUGGUGUGAUGGAGAGAACCCAAGAAAGCUUCUAAACCGGAGUGUGUUUGGAGGUUGGAGGGCAAGGGCCUCCUGGUCUCAGGAAGCGACACAAGGUAGGACUGUGGGUUUGGGACCAGUCCUCUGGCAUCUGUGUGGAGGUGGCCCAGCUACUGUGGAGGCCUGAGUCGUCAGGGGGUUCCUUUUCUGUGCAUCCAAGCGGGAGAUGGUCACGGGUGGCAGGAGAUAAGACACAGACACCUGAAGGCAGAACCCCAGGCCUCGGGGGGCGACCGUGGGGACAGUAGAUGCCAAGAGGCUGCUGGGCAGGGAAGCCGCAGUGGCCAGCCAUCCUCCCCCACGUUGCUCUGACCUCUGCAGGUCCCAGCUCCAGAGGAGCGUCUUCAGUGCCCUGGUGGUGGCCUGGUACUCCUCCGCAUGCCACGUGUCCAACACACUGCGCCCACUCACCUACGGGGACAAGUCACUCUCGCCACAUGAACUCAAGGCCCUUCGCUGGAAAGACAGCUGGGACAUCUUGAUCCGAAAACACUAGAACAAGAGCAUGGCAAAGAACACCCAAGCUGGGGUCGGGACAAGGUCAAGGUCUUGGUCAGUGUACUUAACGAGCAGGGUGGGCCCCGUGCUGGGAGGACACAGGCUGGGCUCAGCAGGGCCUCUGCUGGAACGCGUGGGGGUCUCAUUCUUGAAAAGCCCUCUGAUGAGCACCUCCUUUUGUGCAAAGUUCAUUUUUUCUCAACAAUGAAGAUGUUCCCUCCGUGUCUUCAACCCUGAGCUAAGACACGGAGUAUUUCAGCGGCCAGUGUAGGAGUCAUCGAUGAAGAAAAGCUGAGAACCCAAGGCCAGCAGUGGAGCAAGUGGCCUCAGCAGACCGGGGCCUGGUCCUUGCUAACCGCUGCAGAGUGGAGUUUGAUCUGGCAGACCCGAUCCUCCUUCAUGAACACCCAGCAAACUGAGCAAGUCCCAGCCCUGCCCUGAGUGGGCCCGGCAGGCGUCCCGGGACAGGCGUCCAGGAGGGCCGCCUGAACAGAGCCGGGGCUGGGGCUUGCGAGUCAUUCUCUGUGACAGCAUCAAGACUGGCCCUCCACACCAUGCUGUGUGGAAACCCUCCUGAGACUGCUGAGACGGGGCUGAGUGAAAGUUUCGUCAGUGGUCAAGGAGACAGCUGGCUAUGCUAACGACUGGAUUCACUGGGCCAAGCUACGUGUGGCACGUCUACAAAGUGUGACAUUGUUCCUCUGGAAUUAUGAAGCUUCUAGCAAUACCCUGGCACAGCAACAGGACAGAUGCCACCACGCAUUAUUGCUGCAGGCAGACACCGAUGGUACCUUACUCCCUCACCCAUCCACUCAUUGGUUCAAUGCUGACUGAUUCUCAUCCCGUCAGAUGCUCUGCUGCUGAGGAAGGACAAGAACAGAGAUAUACCAGGAAAUGCAGGGCUGCUGGGGAGGGCCUGCAGCCAGAUG